GCAGGCCCUAACAAUUGCAAGUUCGAGCGGUAGCACAGAGAGCUUGCUCUCGGGUGACGAGCGGCGGACGGGUGAGUAAUGUCUGGGAAACUGCCUGAUGGAGGGGGAUAACUACUGGAAACGGUAGCUAAUACCGCAUAACGUCGCAAGACCAAAGUGGGGGACCUUCGGGCCUCAUGCCAUCAGAUGUGCCCAGAUGGGAUUAGCUAGUAGGUGGGGUAACGGCUCACCUAGGCGACGAUCCCUAGCUGGUCUGAGAGGAUGACCAGCCA
rnacentral:rRNA from 1 species